rnacentral:rRNA from 3 species
GGACUACCCGGGUAUCUAAUCCCGUUUGCUCCCCUGGCUUUCGCGCCUCAGCGUCAGUAAAGGUCCAGUCGCUCGCUUUCGCCACCGGCGUUCCUUCCGAUAUCAACGCAUUUCACCGCUCCACCGGAAGUUCCAGCGACCCCUACCUCCCUCCAGAUCAGUCGUCUCCGAGGCAGUUCUCCGGUUAAGCCGAAGGAUUUCACCCCGGACUGGCUGACCCGCCUACGCGCCCUUUAAGCCCAGUGAUUCCGAACAACGUUCGCACGGUUCGUCUUACCGCGGCUGCUGGCAC